rnacentral:rRNA from 1 species
AUUGAACGCUGGCGGCAGGCCUAACACAUGCAAGUCGAGCGAGCGGCGGACGGGUGAGUAAUGUAUGGGGACUGCCCGAUAGAGGGGGAUAACUACUGGAAACGGUGGAUAAUACCGCAUACUAUAGGAUAGGCCCUAUGGGAUUAGCUAGUAGGUGGGGUAAAGGCGCACUUAGGCGACGAUCUCUAGCUGGUCUGAGAGGAUGAUCAGCCCAAUGGGGACUGGGACACGGCCCAGACUCCUACGGAGGCAGCAGUGGGGAAUAUUGCACAAUGGGCGCAAGCCUGAUGCAGCCAUGCCGCGUGGAUGAAGAAGGCCUUAGGGUUGUAAAGUACUUUCAGCGGGGAGGCGUUACCCGCAGAAGAAGCACCGGCUAACUCCGUGCCAGCCGCCGCGGUAAUAC